UCCAAAAAGUGAAAGUAAAUAUAAAAAAGUGACUAGAAAAAUAUUCUAGUCCAUAGGGUAAAGUUUGGUAAUGAAUGGAGGUGUGUAGAUAGAUAAGCUUAUACCCACUGAUAAAGUAAACUCAUUAAUUGACUCAAUUAAGUCACUAUUCUCCUUCUUCUACGUUUCAUCCGACGACAGUAAGGGAAAGAAAGAACGGAGAUUUUGGUUUUAAAUCUUCCAAAAUUCAUAACUUGAGCUAGAGACCUCCAAAUCACUCCGUUCCAAAGCCAAACCUGUGAGAAAUUUCGAGAGGAACCUAUUGGUACCAAUAUUUCUGGGUGGGGUUCACUGUAGAGAGAGAUCUUCUCCCCCAAAGAUUUCGAAUUUCAUGGAAAAGAUAGAUUUUGAUGGAGCUUGAGGCCAUGGGAGCUUAGGAACUCAUCUCUCCUUUGUUCUAGAGUGCAUUGUGGUGUGCCUAGAGACUGUGAACGUUUGGAUUCUCGUGGAGCAAGAUAAAUAGCUUGUUCUUCAAGUAAGCAAAUUGUAAAGCUCCAAGAGGAACACAGUUAAUUGAAGAGCCUCAUGGGACCAGGACACUAACCGUGGCUAGAGGUACUAGUAUGAGAAUGUGGAGUUCUGGGUGGUCGGAUGCUACUAUUUGUUUUAGACGUAUUUUUGGAAAAGAUGUAUUGUUGCAUAGUGUUCAUAUUCGAUACAUGUACAUUUAUGUAUUCAGGCAUGAUGAUAUGACUAUGUAGUAUUCAGUUAUGUUAUGUAUUGGAUUGCAUGCUAUUAGAUUUGUGGCACGGAGCCAAGUUCAGCAUGCGCCCAUAGAUGGGUAUCUGAGUAUAUUUGCAUGACUGGUAC